AUAAGCUCCAGACGGUCUUGCUAUGUCUGAAAUCGAUCAUUUGGGCUUACAAAAUCUUCCAAUGCCACGAAAAAAUCGAAUCUGAUCGGUAAGUGAUUUCAAUCCGUGCCGAUUAUGUCUGAAACUAAUCGAUAAUAGGAAAAGGAUGGGUUAUUCUGGGAUUUAGAAAUACUGUGAACCUAUGAUUUUUUUGGUUUUCGAUAUGUUCUGAGGUUGACGAUGAGUAAAAAGAGAGAAUGUGAGCGAGAUAAGUGAGUGAAAUUGGCGAAAACGAUACUAAAGAGAGCGACACCAGAAAGGGUGGGUCGUUGUAGGGUUGAGAAAUACUGUGAACCUAUAGUUUUUUUGUUUGUUUUUUUUUUGUUCUCAAUGUGUUCUAAGGUUGAAGACAAGUAAAAAGAGACCAAAGAGAGCGACACUAACGAGACAAUGUCUGGCGAGCGUGGUUCUAGCGAGAUUGAAACAGAAUGUAGUGUUUACAAUUUUUUUGAAGAAAUUAUUGUUUGAAUCUUUAUUUCAUGCAGGAGUGAUUUAAGAUGUCAACACGUUUUAGAAUACCUGUAGUCGACCGAUUUUCCGGUCAAGUAACAAGCUUGGCCCACAUUGCUAAUGCGAACAAAAUCGUGAAGGAGAAGCUUACCCCAUGAUAGUUAGAGAUGUUCAAGAGAACAAUUUUUGGGCGAUUUGUAGACAUUGACAUGGUGUUCAACAACCAAAUUAUCCACCAUAUGUUGUUGAGAGAAGUGAAGAGCACUAGAGCUGACUCAAUGAGAUUCUCUGUUGGCGGAAAGGUCGUCACGUUUUUUAAGGAUGAUUGGUUUGUGGUGAUCCCCCACGCGAGUUGAUCAGAAUGAGAAGUCCUCAUAUGAACUUGCAAUCAAGUAUUUUGGUAAUUGAGUGACAAAGGAUACAUUACAUAUCAGUCUAUUAGAGGAAAGAUACAAGUAGUUGGUUCGAAGAUGAUGAGGAUGCUGUGAAGAUCACCUUAGUGUACUACAUGGAGGUUGCAAUGAUGGGAAAGAACAAGCAGAAAGAUGAUUUAAGGACGUUCAAAACAUAGAGUAUUACAAUAGUCUAGACUGGGGUACCAUUAUUUGGGAGAGGACAUUCGAUGCCCUAAAGAUUGCAUUGAAUGAUAAGAUUAGUUUAUAUAUGACGAAGGUGAAAGGAAAUAAAAAUUAUGUCGUGAAGUACUUUUUGCGUGGAUUUCCAGAAGGUUCCAGGUAAAUUUUCUUAACAUAAUAAUCGUGUUGUUUGAUUUAACAUUACUAUUGUUCUUAAUAUAUGUUAAAUCUUAUUUGGGUAUGGACGUACGAGAUCCUAGUUGCAUCGAUAGCUGGGAACAUUGUUAAGCAAAGGAGCAAGGUGGCUUUGCCUCGUAUAUUACGAUGGUCAUGCUUCCAUUUAGUGUCCUUCAAAGUACUCGAGAGAAACAUAUUCGAGUCUAACAAUAUAAAGGUCAAAGAGGGUCUUGUCAUGACCGAUGUUGAGAGGGAGUUUCGGGAUACCCUAGUGGAUAGAUGACCUAUAUUCGAUCUAGGUGCCAAUGAUGAUAGUGUUGAAAGCAGUAGUAGGUCGAGUAGUGGAGGUAGUUCUGAAAUCAACGAUGAUGAUCAUCGUGGAGGUAACAAUGAUGAACAUGAGGAUGCUGAAUGUGGAAGGGUGGAUGGAGGGACAUACACACCUAGUGAUGAUAUGUUCCAUGAUGUGGUGGGGGACGUACGAUGAGGAUGAGUUAAACCUAUAUGAUGUCCAUCUUACGGAUUCCCAUAGAGAGCGAUCUAUGGAUGAGGAGUGUCAUAAGUGUGUUGGCCGCAGGGAGGGAGCCCAUCCCAACGAUUCUAUUUAUUUGUACUUGCAGAGCAUUGACAGCUCACUAUCGAGGUUGGAUGAUCAUAUAUCUAUUUUAGAUAGUCGUGUAUCCAAGAUCGAGAAAAACAUGACAGACAUGAAAGCACAUUUUUCAACCAUCCAGUCACUAUUGUAGUUUAUGUGCAAGAGUUCCAUGGUGAUUAAGGAAACGACAAGGUCACCCAUCCCAUAUACAGGUGACGAUGCCACGAUGUCGCUCAUCCCACCUAUUGAUCCCAAUACUACUGAUGCGACUACCUCUUAUACUCCCGUGCCCCCUCUAGAGCCUUCAAAUACCACUAUUACACCUACUCCCAUUGCCCCUCUAGAGCCUGAUAUCAUAGAAUCACCCACUGACAUCCAACCUAUAGAGGCUAACGUUCCACAUACACAGCCUGACGUGUCUACCUCACCCACUGACAUCCCACAUCCAGAGGCUGACACAUUUGACUUACUCACCAUGCCACAUACAGAGGCCGACACGUCUGACAUCCUAGAAGCCAACACUUCUAAUAUUGUUACGACCACAUAAGAAGUUAUAUUAGUCUCGAAGAACUAGUCCUAAGAGGAAAUGUGUUGAUAAAUAUACUCCUCCAGCUCAACUAAAGAAGAAAAUAACAAAAGAUGAUGAAACUAGGGUACAACUUCCAUAUGAAAGUCAAAAGGUUAAGUAUCCUCUCCCGAGUGUGCCUAAAUCACUAUUCAGAGCGAUUAUCAGGUACAACAUAGCACAUGAUGUUCCAUUUACUAUCUUUACAGAAAUGAUGGGUUGGAUCACCAAUGAGAAUACAGAUAACGAGGUUCGAGAGAAUUCCUUUAAGCAACUAUCGAAGCAAUUUUUUAAGGAAUUGAUUAAACCAAGUUUGUAUUUUGACUGAUAUAGUAAUUUUUUGUGCAGACCGUAAAUACUUUAUUUCAUUUUAUGAAAGAAAAUUUUUAUAACCGACUUGACAUGUGCAUGCAGAAGUUCACCAUCUUGUCAAUUGGAGUAACGGUAAACUUUGAUAUAUUUUGUUGUGCAGAGUCAUUUUACGAUGAUCAUGUAGUCUCUU